rnacentral:rRNA from 1 species
GGAUUAGAUACCCUGGUAGUCCACGCCGUAAACGAUGUCAACUAGCCGUUGGGGAUCUUAGUAUCUUUAGUGGCGCAGCUAACGCGAUAAGUUGACCGCCUGGGGAGUACGGUCGCAAGAUUAAAACUCAAAUGAAUUGACGGGGGCCCGCACAAGCGGUGGAGCAUGUGGUUUAAUUCGAUGCAACGCGAAGAACCUUACCAGGACUUGACAUCCAGAGAACUUUCUAGAGAUAGAUUGGUGCCUUCGGGAGCUCUGUGACAGGUGCUGCAUGGCUGUCGUCAGCUCGUGCUG